CAAACACCCAUUGGUGUACAUGAAUACUGGGAACACAGCAACAAGGUCAACUUAGUCCUGCUCUGGAUUCUUCCUCUCUGGGGAGAAAGGGCAUAAGCCAGAGAGCCUCGGCUAUAGGAAGGGACCUAUCAGGGAGACCAGCAUGGCCUCAGGCUGGGAGAUGUGGGGGGUGCCCUGCCACAGUCAGACAGACCAGGAUCCAGUGAUGCUCUCAGGAUCUACGUGGUGUUGGACCCCAAGGCUCCUGGAUGCACAUACCUUGCUGAGUACUGUCCUUGGCCUGGUACCUCCAGCACCACUGGUCCUCAACCUAGGAAGCUCCAGAGACUUUCUGCAGGGCUGUCUGAGGCCCAGUCCCCAAGAAAGGAGUGGCUGCUGCACUGAUCCUCUGAGGUGGUUCAGGGCCCUCAGCCAGCAAGCUCCUGCAGGCGACCCUGGGUAAACUGAGUCCUGUACAGGUUCACCUUCAUAUCUGCAAGGCCUAGAAACCUGAAUGUUUACACAAACUCUCCAGAUUUUUAAGUGUCAGUCAACAAUUAAACAUCAGGCCAAAUAAAAAUAUCACUUUGAGGAAAACUGAAAGUCUA
rnacentral:lncRNA from 1 species